CAUACACAUUCUUAGGGCUUGGAGUUGAGGUCACAAACUGGCCGAUGAACUCACAUGUGUAGGUAGUGUGCUACAUGAGUGGCAAUUUUUCACUAACACUCCUCUAUGGCCUGUGAGUGGAGUUUGAUAGUAACCUUUGCUACAAGU
rnacentral:snoRNA from 1 species